GGGUUUGUAUAUGCUUCAAAGUAUGAAGAGGCGAUAUCAAUGUUGAGGACAGAAGCACCUGGGAUAUGUCGAUGGUUUAUACUGCCCCUGAUUCUGCCUGGUAUAAAAUGCCUAAGUCUACAAGGUGAGCUUUGUGGUUGGACAUGCUUUUACAUUGGUGUGGCUGCUGUUGCUUUUGGAUGCUCUUAUUAUCACCUCAAACCAAAUGAUGGUCACCUUGUUUGGGAUCGUUUGCCUAUGCAAAUGAGGAAUCUUCAUGAUCACAUGCCAUUCUUCGUUCAUAAAUCUUGCAGGAAAUGAAAGAGGUGCAGAUACAAUUGAUAAUGAUAAGAAAACAAGGCUUGGCCUGUGCGUACUCCAAGGCCUGUUGCUUUCAAGCUUGUUGCUGAUACCCCUCUUCUUACUGGACAGGUAAGUUUCAAAUCUUUUUGUUGUGGAUUUCUUAUAGUUUCUUUUUGUUGUGGAUUUCUUAUAGUUUACUUAGCUUCUUAAAUCAAAGAGUAUAAAGCUUUCCUAAUGUGUUCUAAUAAUUAAGAAAACGGUGUUUUUUUGAAAAAUACUGAUGGACUUUGCUAUUUUGUUGUAUGGUGUAUUACCUUGGAUAUAAUUUGUUUUUACAGUUUUCUCUUUUUAUUUAAUUUAAAUUUGGAUAUAAGUUUGUAACACAUGGGAUUUAUGAUUGCAGCAAACAAUCUUUCUUUUCUUUCUAGACAUGAUUAAAGGCAUGUUUUUGGCUGUAGUUAUUGGACCACCUGUUGUGGUUGCCAUCAUUUUAAUAGUACAGUAAGGAGAGCAUUCUAAACAUUCUGGAAACUUUAAAAGAAGAGGGAAAUAGGGUCUUGUUUAAUGCUUUAGCUGUGUUUGCUCUAAGGGAGAUCAACUUAUCACAAGUGAGUAAUCAAGAUUAAGGGAGACUUGUAAUCAUGUUUGACAUUCCUUUCCAGUAAGAAAAAGAGUUGUAUGAUUAUUUGUUAGUUUUAUAGGAAUGUAUAACCCAUGUUAGCAAUGUUUUAUUUUUGUUUAACAUUUGAAUGAUUCUUUGUAUGACAUUACAAUUUGUGUAAUUUAUUUUA